UAGAGUUUGAUCCUGGCUCAGGAUGAACGCCGGCGGUGUGCCUAAUACAUGCAAGUCGUACGCACUGGCCCAACUGAUUGAUGGUGCUUGCACCUGAUUGACGAUGGAUCACCAGUGAGUGGCGGACGGGUGAGUAACACGUAGGUAACCUGCCCCGGAGCGGGGGAUAACAUUUGGAAACAGAUGCUAAUACCGCAUAACAACAAAAGCCACAUGGCUUUUGUUUGAAAGAUGGCUUUGGCUAUCACUCUGGGAUGGACCUGCGGUGCAUUAGCUAGUUGGUAAGGUAACGGCUUACCAAGGCGAUGAUGCAUAGCCGAGUUGAGAGACUGAUCGGCCACAAUGGAACUGAGACACGGUCCAUACUCCUACGGGAGGCAGCAGUAGGGAAUCUUCCACAAUGGGCGCAAGCCUGAUGGAGCAACACCGCGUGAGUGAAGAAGGGUUUCGGCUCGUAAAGCUCUGUUGUUGGAGAAGAACGUGCGUGAGAGUAACUGUUCACGCAGUGACGUAUCCACCAGAAUGCGAU
rnacentral:rRNA from 2 species